ACACGUGGCCCGAAGCGUCCCCGCCAUGUUCUCUCUGUGUUUUGUCGUCAAAGAUUCAAGCUGUGACUACUUCGAAUGCUCAUAAUUACAGCUAACUGCAAUCGCCAUACUGGAGGACACGGAGAGUUAUCACGUUUUCGAGGCAGCGUCGUGCAACGAUUGAUUGGUUACCGGUCUCCAGUUCAACAUACCAAGAGGUGCACAGAAAUAUACUGCCAAUCACGUCGCUGAAGGACUCGGAGAAUCAACAUGUUUUAGAGGCAACGUCGUGCACCGCUCGCCAGUUGAGCAUACCAAAAAGUUCAUAUUUAACUGCCAAUCGCCGCGCCGUAAACGGAUAAACAUGCAGAGGACACGGAGAAUCGACACGUUUUCGAAGCAACGUCGAGCAGCCAGCGAUUCAGUGGUUACCGGAGGGUACGACCUGAGUUUGGAGAUACUAUCAGGAGUUGAUAAUAGAGAUCUCUAUUAUCCACUCCUGAUACUAUUUGUACUGAUCUCAUCACGUAAAGUAGAACGUCUUCUUGUAGACAGCUACCCGACAUUUCGUCAGUGAUUUGACUGGUCAGUGGGAUGCCAAUGACGACGACAAUUGCAAGCGGGCUAUGAUAAACGCGUUGUUAACUAGCUAUAUUCUCUUUACAAACAUUUUACAUCCAUAAUAUAUUUCUUUAAUUUUUAUUCUUUAAAUAUUAUUAGAGGAUAUAUUGGUUAAAUUAAAGCAUGAAUGCGUGAUUAAAAGCUUUGAGUAAAACCACCAAUGUAUAUCAAUUGUAAAUGGAACUUUAAACUAAAAAUAGUGGUUGUAAAACACUUUUCGCCUUAUGGUAAAAUAAUACAUCGGUCAGCCUUUAUAAACUAAUGUCGUUACAAAUUUCAUAGAUAAAUAAUAUAUUUGAUCUAGUUAAUAUUCCUCUGUCACUGGUAAGUCAUAUUUCUGAACAUGUGCUCUCAAACAUCCCCCGUGAUUUUCAGAGUAUGAUGUGUACGCCUGCGGGCCACUGUCAAAACCUUUGCAAAGGAAUUUACUUCAGAUGUUCCUGACAACGGUCCCCUGAAUAAUUAUAUACUCGCGUUUUUAUAUUUGUUAUUAAUUUACAUAUAUUAUAAUUACGUACAUUUAUUACGUUAUUUCGUUAUAUUGAAGUCCACGCGCGUGCGUAUUAGCACAUGCUUUCACGAUUGAAAUACCUUCUAAUAAAUAUACUCUUAACUAAAAAUUU
rnacentral:lncRNA from 1 species